UACGUAGGUGGCAAGCGUUGUCCGGAUUUAUUGGGUUUAAAGGGUGCGUAGGCGGCUUUGUAAGUCAGUGCUGAAAUACUCCAGCUUAACUGGAGGGGUGGCAUUGAUACUGGAAGACUUGAGUGUAGUCGAAGUAGGCGGAAUUGACGGUGUAGCGGUGAAAUGCUUAGAUAUCGUCAAGAACACCGAUAGUGAAGACAGCUUACUAGGCUACAACUGACGCUGAGGCACGAAAGUGUGGGGAUCAAACAGG
rnacentral:rRNA from 1 species